rnacentral:rRNA from 1 species
GAUGAACGCUGGCGGCGUGCCUAAUACAUGCAAGUCGAGCGAACAGAUGAGGAGCUUACUCCUCUGACGUUAGCGGCGGACGGGUGAGUAACACGUGGAUAACCUACCUAUAAGACUGGGAUAACUUCGGGAAACCGGAGCUAAUACCGGAUAAUAUAUUGAACCGCAUGGUUCAAUAGUGAAAGACGGUUUUGCUGUCACUUAUAGAUGGAUCCGCGCCGCAUUAGCUAGUUGGUAAGGUAACGGCUUACCAAGGCAACGAUGCGUAGCCGACCUGAGAGGGUGAUCUGCCACACUGGAACUGAGACACGGUCCAGACUCCUACGGGAGGCAGCAGUAGGGAAUCUUCCGCAAUGGGCGAAAGCCUGACGGAGCAACGCCGCGUGAGUGAUGAAGGUCUUCGGAUCGUAAAACUCUGUUAUUAGGGAAGAACAAAUGUGUAAGUAACUAUGCACGUCUUGACGGUACCUAAUCAGAAAGCCACGGCUAACUACGUG